rnacentral:tmRNA from 1 species
GGGGAUGUUUUGGUUUUGACAGCGUUGAUGUCGGACAGUAAGCAUGCCGGGCUCUGUGGGGCGGCCCGUAAAAACUGAACCUCGUUAAAUUCAGUUGGCAACAACAACUAUGCACUCGCUGCCUAAUUAGACUCAGUCAAUUAGCUUAAUCCGCGACGCCAAGGCUGCGUCGCCGACGAGUAUCCCUCGGGCUUUAGGCCGGUUCUGUUCCGAUCAAGGGGUAUCAUUCAAACCGGAUGCGUGAGGGGGACUCCCCUACACCUCACUAAGAUUCAGGGGAUAAGCCGUGGUUAGCCCGUCUUCCGGCAGGCUCCGGCCGACAACCAAAGGAAGAAUAAGCAUGUAGAAAGCUGCCUGGUGCGGCGUUUGGACGGCGGUUCGAGUCCGCCCAUCUCCAC